AUCGGAAUUUCUGGGCGUAAAGGGUCUGUAGGUGGUUUGUUAAGUCAGAUGUGAAAGCCCAGGGCUCAACCUUGGAACUGCAUUUGAUACUGGCAAACUAGAGUAUGGUAGAGGAAUGGGGAAUUUCUGGUGUAGCGGUGAAAUGCGUAGAGAUCAGAAGGAACACCAAUGGCGAAGGCAACAUUCUGGACCAAUACUGACACUGAGGGACGAAAGCGUGGGGAUCAAACAGGAUUAGAUACCCUGGUAGUCCACGCUGUAAACGAUGAGUACUAGCUGUUGGAUUCGGUGUAAAGGAUCUAGUGGCGUAGCUAACGCGUUAAGUACUCCGCCUGGGGACUACGGCCGCAAGGCUAAAACUCAAAGGAAUUGACGGGGACCCGCACAAGCGGUGGAGCAUGUGGUUUAAUUCGAUGCAACGCGAAGAACCUUACCUGGUCUUGACAUCCUGCGAACUUUCUAGAGAUAGAUUGGUGCCUUCGGGAACGCAGUGACAGGUGCUGCACGGCUGUCGUCAGCUCGUGUUGUGAAAUGUUGGGUUAAGUCCCGCAACGAGCGCAACCCCUAUUGAUAGUUACCAUCAUUAAGUUGGGUACUCUAUUGAGACUGCCGCUGACAAGGCGGAGGAAGGUGGGGACGACGUCAAGUCAUCAUGGCCCUUACGACCAGGGCUACACACGUGCUACAAUGGGUAUUACAGAGGGCAGCGAAGUAGCGAUAUGGAGCGAAACUCAGAAAGGUACUCUUAGUCCGGAUUGCAGUCUGCAACUCGACUGCAUGAAGUCGGAAUCGCUAGUAAUCGCAGGUCAGAAUACUGCGGUGAAUACGUUCCCGGGUCUUGUACACACCGCCCGUCACACCAUGGGAGUGGGUUGCUC
rnacentral:rRNA from 1 species